rnacentral:rRNA from 1 species
CGUGUAGGCGGAUACGCAAGUCGGUUGUGAAAUCCCUGGGCUCAACCUAGGAACUGCAUCCGAAACUGUGUGUCUUGAGUAAUGGAAAGGGUGGCGGAAUUCCCGGUGUAGAGGUGAAAUUCGUAGAUAUCGGGAGGAACAUCUGUGGCGAAGGCGGCCACCUGGACAUUUACUGACGCUGAGACGCGAAAGCGUGGGGAGCAAACA